CCUACGGGGGGCAGCAGUGGGGGAUAUUGGACAAUGGGGGGAACCCUGAUCCAGCGACGCCGCGUGAGUGAAGAAGUAUUUCGGUAUGUAAAGCUCUGUCAGCAGGGAAGAAAGAAAUGAUGGUACCUGACCAAGAAGCCGCGGCUAACUACGUGCCAGCAGCCGCGGUAAGACGUAGGGGGCAAGCGUUAUCCGGAAUUACUGGGUGUAAAGGGAGCGUAGACGGUUAAGUAAGUCUGGAGUGAAAGGCCGGGGCUCAACCCCGGGACUGCUCUGGAAACUAUUUAACUUGAGUGCAGGAGAGGUAAGCGGAAUUCCUAGUGUAGCGGUGAAAUGCGUAGAUAUUAGGAGGAACACCAGUGGCGAAGGCGGCUUACUGGACUGUAACUGACGUUGAGGCUCGAAAGCGUGGGGAGCAAACAGGAUUAGAUACCCUUGUAGUC
rnacentral:rRNA from 1 species